UACGUAGGGUGCGAGCGUUAAUCGGAAUUACUGGGCGUAAAGGGCGCGUAGGCGGCCUUCUAAGUCAGACGUGAAAUCCCCCGGCUUAACCUGGGAACUGCGUCUGAUACUGGGAGGCUUGAGUGCGGGAGAGGGAUGCGGAAUUCCAGGUGUAGCGGUGAAACGCGUAGAUAUCUGGAGGAACACCGGUGGCGAAGGCGGCAUCCUGGACCGACACUGACGCUGAGGCGCGAAAGCUAGGGUAGCAAACGGG
rnacentral:rRNA from 1 species